rnacentral:rRNA from 1 species
AGAACGAACGCUGGCGGCAUGCCUAACACAUGCAAGUCGAACGAGACCUUCGGGUCUAGUGGCGCACGGGUGCGUAACGCGUGGGAAUCUGCCCCUUGGUUCGGAAUAACAGUUAGAAAUGACUGCUAAUACCGGAUACGUCCGUAAGGAGAAAGAUUUAUCGCCGAGGGAUCGGCCCGCGUCCGAUUAGCUAGUUGGUGGGGUAAUGGCCCACCAAGGCGACGAUCGGUAGCUGGUCUGAGAGGAUGAUCAGCCUCACUGGGACUGAGACACGGCCCAGACUCCUACGGGAGGCAGCAGUGGGGAAUAUUGGACAAUGGGCGCAAGCCUGAUCCAGCCAUGCCGCGUGGGUGAUGAAGGCCUUAGGGUUGUAAAGCCCUUUCGGCGGGGAAGAUAAUGACGGUACCCGCAGAAGAAGCCCCGGCUAACUUCGCGCCAGCAGCCGC